CUGCCCAAAAGAGGGGGAUAACACUUGGAAACAGGUGCUAAUACCGCAUAACAUAGUUACCGCAUGGUAACUAUGUAAAAGGUGGCUAUACUACCGCUUUUGGAUGGGCCCGCGGCGCAUUAGCUAGUUGGUAGGGUAAAGGCUUACCAAGGCAAUGAUGCGUAGCCGAAUUGAGAGGUUGAUCGGCCACAUUGGGACUGAGACACGGCCCAAACUCCUACGGGAGGCAGCAGUAGGGAAUCUUCCACAAUGGGCGAAAGCCUGAUGGAGCAACGCCGCGUGGGUGAAGAAGGUCUUCGGAUCGUAAAACCCUGUUGUUAGAGAAGAAAGUGCGUGAGAGUAACUGUUCACGUUUCGACGGUAUCUAACCAGAAAGCCACGGCUAACUACGUGCCAGCAGCCGCGGUAAUACGUAGGUGGCAAGUGUUAUCCGGAUUUAUUGGGCGUAAAGGGAACGCAGGCGGUCUUUUAAGUCUGAUGUGAAAGCCUUCGGCUUAACCGGAGUAGUGCAUUGGAAACUGGGAGACUUGAGUGCAGAAGAGGAGAGUGGAACUCCAUGUGUAGCGGUGAAAUGCGUAGAUAUAUGGAAGAACACCAGUGGCGAAAGCGGCUCUCUGGUCUGUAACUGACGCUGAGGUUCGAAAGCGUGGGUAGCAAACAGGAUUAGAUACCCUGGUAGUCCACGCCGUAAACGAUGA
rnacentral:rRNA from 1 species